rnacentral:rRNA from 1 species
CAGCAGCCGCGGGAAUACGUAGGUCCCGAGCGUUGUCCGGAUUUAUAGGGCGUAAAGGGAGCGCAGGCGGUUUAGUAAGUCUGAAGUUAAAGGCAUUGGCUCAACCAAUGUAUGCUUUGGAAACUGUUAGACUUGAGUGCAGAAGGGGAGAGUGGAAUUCCAUGUGUAGCGGUGAAAUGCGUAGAUAUAUGGAGGAACACCGGUGGCGAAAGCGGCUCUCUGGUCUGUCACUGACGCUGAGGCUCGAAAGCGUGGGUAGCGAACAGGAUUAGAUACCCCGGUAGUCCCUGUCUCUUAUACA